CCUACGGGUGGCAGCAGUAGGGAAUUUUCCGCAAUGGGCGCAAGCCUGAACGAGCGAUGCCGCGUGAGUGAAGAAGGCCUUCGGGUCGUAAAGCUCUGUUGCGGGGGAAGAAAGGCAGCAGCAGGAAAUGGGUGCUGACUGAUGGUGCCUCGCCAGGAAGUACCGGCUAACUCCGUGCCAGCAGCCGCGGUAAUACGUAGGUGGCGAGCGUUAUGCGGAAUUAUUGGGCGUAAAGGGUGCGCAGGCGGUCCUGCAAGUCAGGGGUGAAACGCAUGAGCUCAACGCAGGCAUGGCCUUGGAAACUGGAGGACUGGAGAGUAGGAGAGGGUGGUGGAACUCCAGGUGUAGGGGUAAAAUCCGUAGAUAUAUGGAAGAACACCAGUGGCGAAGGCGGCCGCCUGGCAUGUUGCUGACGCUGAGGCACGAAAGCGUGGGGAGCAAACAGGAUUAGAUACCCGGGUAGUC
rnacentral:rRNA from 1 species